UACGUAGGGCGCAAGCGUUGUCCGGAAUUAUUGGGCGUAAAGAGCUCGUAGGCGGUCUGUCGCGUCGAAUGUGAAAACCCGGGGCUCAACCCCGGGCCUGCAUUCGAUACGGGCAGGCUAGAGUUCGGUAGGGGAGUCUGGAAUUCCUGGUGUAGCGGUGAAAUGCGCAGAUAUCAGGAGGAACACCGGUGGCGAAGGCGGGACUCUGGGCCGAUACUGACGCUGAGGAGCGAAAGCGUGGGGAGCAAACAGG
rnacentral:rRNA from 1 species